rnacentral:rRNA from 1 species
AUACGUAGGGGGCAAGCGUUAUCCGGAUUUACUGGGUGUAAAGGGAGCGUAGACGGUAAAGCAAGUCUGAAGUGAAAGCUCGGGGCUCAACCCCGGAACUGCUUUGGAAACUGUUUUACUGGAGUGCAGGAGAGGUAAGCGGAAUUCCUAGUGUAGCGGUGACAUGCGUAGAUAUUAGGAGGACCACCAGAGGCGAAGGCGGCUUACUGGGCUGUAACUGACGUUGAGGCGCGAAGGCGUGGGGAGCAAACAGGAUUAGAUACCCUGGUAGUCCACGCGGUAAACGAUGAUCACUAGGUGUCGGCGGCCAUAGGCGGUCGGUGCCGCAGCAAACGCAAUAAGUGAUCCACCUGGGGAGUACGUUCGCAAGAAUGAAACUUAAAGGAAUUGACGGGG